rnacentral:lncRNA from 1 species
AUUUUAUAACCCAUUAUUUUAAAACAGUAAACACUUUUUAAACAUCUAAGAAUUAUUGUUAUAAAACAAUAUUUAAUUUUUUAAAAUAUAAAAUAAUUGAAUUAUUGUCUUUCUCUAAGCUAUUUAGAGAACACUACUUUCUUUGUUUUGUUUUGGUUUGGUUUUUUGAGACGGAGUGUCCGUCUGUCGCCCAGGCUGGAGUGCCAGUGGCGCGAUCUCGGCUCACUGCAAGCUCCACCUCUUGGGUUCACACCAUUCUCCUGCGUCAACCUCGCGAGUAGCUGGGACUAGAGGCGCCCGCCACCACGCCUGGCUAAUUUUUUGUAUUUUUAGCAGAGACGGGGUUUCACCGUGUUAGCCACUUUCUUUGUUAAUUUAACUGUUAUUUUAAGUUCAGGGAUACAUGUGCGGGUUUGUUAUACAGGUAAUCUUGUGUCAUGAGAGUUUUUUUGCACGGAUUAUUUCAUCACCCAGGUAUUAAACCUAGCACCAGUUAUUUUUCCUGAUUCUCUCCCUCCUCCUACCCAGCACCCUCUGAUAGGCCCCAAUGUGUGUUGUUUCCCUCUAUGUGUUCAUGUGCUCUCAUCAUUUAGCUCCCACUUAUAAGUGAGAACAUGUGGUAUUUGGUUUUCUCUUCCUGCAUUAGUUUGCUAAGGAUAAUAGCCUCCAGCUCCAUCCAUGUCCCUGCAAAUGACAUGAUCUCAUUCUUUCAUAUGGCUGGAUAGUACUUCAUGGUGUAUACAUACAUUUUCUUUAUCCAGUCUACAGUUGAUGGGCAUUUAGGUUUAUUCCAUGUCUUUGCUACUGUGAAUAAUGCUGCAUUGAACAUACGUGUGCAUGUAUCUUUAUAAUAAAACAAUUUAUAUUUCUUGGGUAUAUACCCAUUAAUGGGAUUGCUGGAUCCAGUGGUAUUUCUGUUUUUAGGUCUUUGAGGAAUUGCCACACUCUCACAUGGCUGAACUAAUUUACACUCCCAGUAUCAGUGUAUAUGCGUUCCAAUUGCUCCAUAACUUCGCCAGCAUCUGCUUUUUUUUUUUUGCUUUUUAAUAAUAGCCAUUCUGACUAGUGUGAGAUGGUAUCUCAUUAUGGUUUUGAUUUGCGUUUCUCUAAUGAUCAGUGAUAUUGAGGCUUUUUUUCAUAUCAUUGUUGGCUGCAUGUAUGUUUUCUUUUGAAAAGUGUCUGUUCAUAUCCUUUGCCCACUUUUUAAUGGGAUUUUUUUUUCUUGUAAAUUUGUUUAAGUUUCUUAUAGAUGCUGGAAUAUUAGACUUUUGUAGAUGUAUAGUUUGCAAAUAUUUUCCCCCAAUCUGUAGGUUGUCUGUUCACUCUGUUGAUAGGUUCCUUUGCUCUGACAAAGCUCUAGAGUUUAAUUAGAUCCCAUUUGCCAAUUUUUGCUUUCGUUGCAACCACCUUUUGUGUCUUCAUCAUGAAAUCUUUGCCUGUUAGAAAACACUACUUUCAGACAUUUAAAUGCAUAUAGGCAAUGCUUAAGUACCUAAAAAAGCAAUUUUAAGAAAUUACUGAGGUAUCUCUAUUAAGAGUGACAUAUUCAUAUUUUAUUUUAUGUAUAUAUUAUUUCUAUAACAUACAAGAAAUUGUUGCAUUUAUCAUUUUAAUGCAAAGUAGUAUCAAGUAUAAUGGAUUAGAUGCAAAAAUAACUGAGGUAGGAAUCUCAGUUCUGUGUUUUAAUGUGGAAUUCUUAUGCUUAUUAAAAUAUUUUGAUUAGCUGUUGCAGAAAA